AGACGUCUACAUUAGAUACCCGGGUAGUCCCAGCCGUAAACUAUGCGCGUUAGGUGUAUCGGUGACCACGAGUCACCGAGGUGCCGAAGGGAAACCGUGAAACGUGCCGCCUGGGAAGUACAGUCGCAAGGCUGAAACUUAAAGGAAUUGGCGGGGAGCACCACAACGGGUGGAGCCUGCGGUUUAAUUGGACUCAACGCCGGGAAGCUCACCGGAUAAGACAGCGGAAUGAUUGCCGGGCUGAAGUCUCUGCAUGACUAGCUG
rnacentral:rRNA from 1 species